rnacentral:misc_RNA from 1 species
CGAAGGUGAACAUAACCACCCAAGGAUACUAUCACAAUCCGCAAACACAUAGUCCUUAUGUGGCGCUUUCAAUCCUCGCACCUUUUGAUUAGUCUAAACUCAUUUAUUGGAUGGCUUCUGUACAUAUUUUUCCUUUUCUUAAAGAUCUUUUUUUUUUCCUCGACUCUUUGGCGUUGGCUCUUCAAAGUCUUAUUACCAAUUAGGCCAGCAAGCUUGAAGCAAAACACCAAUCAAAAGGAAAAUGUAGAAAUGGGGUUUUAAAUUGUGAGAACUUUUUCAUUUUCCAUGAAUCAAUGUUUGAAACAGUUCCAGAUAUUUCCCAAAGUUGGUCAUGGCAUAAGUGUUGUAGUUUUCUUUCUGGUUGACUGUUAUGCAUGAUAAAUUUUUGUCACAUUGCAAAGAUUAGAGGUGUGGAGUUUAAAGCUUGUAUGGCGAUUUUGUUUGUACGAGCUCCCCC